UACGGCCAUAUCACGUUGAAACAUUGGUUCCCGUACGAUCACAGAAGUUAAGCCAACGUCGAUCCUUUUCAGUGCCUAGAUAGGUAACUGCUUGGGAAUAGCAGGUGCUGUAAG
rnacentral:rRNA from 1 species